rnacentral:rRNA from 1 species
AACGAACGCUGGCGGCAGGCCUAACACAUGCAAGUCGAACGCUCCAGCAAUGGAGAGUGGCAGACGGGUGAGUAACGCGUGGGAACCUUCCCUAUGGUUCGGAAUAGCUCAGGGAAACUUGAGGUAAUACCGGAUAAGCCCUUCGGGGAAAGGAUUUAUCGCCAUUGGAUGGGCCCGCGUAGGAUUAGCUAGUUGGUGAGGUAACGGCUCACCAAGGCGACGAUCCUUAGCUGGUCNGAGAGGAUGAUCAGCCAUACUGGGACUGAGACACGGCCCAGACUCCUACGGGAGGCAGCAGUGGGGAAUAUUGGACAAUGGGCGCAAGCCUGAUCCAGCCAUGCCGCGUGAGUGACGAAGGCCUUAGGUUGUAAAGCUCUUUUGGCGGGGAAGAUAAUGACGGUACCCGCAGAAUAAGCUCCGGCUAACUUCGUGCCAGCCGCCG